UACGGGGGGAGCAAGCGUUGUUCGGAUUUACUGGGCGUAAAGGGCGCGUAGGCGGUAGCACAAGUCAGUUGUGAAAUCUCCGGGCUUAACUCGGAAAGGUCAACUGAUACUGUGCGACUAGAGUGCAGAAGGGGCAACUGGAAUUCUCGGUGUAGCGGUGAAAUGCGUAGAUAUCUAGAGGAACACCUGCGGCGAAGGCGGGUUGCUGGGCUGACACUGACGCUGAGGCGCGAAAGCCAGGGGAGCGAACGGG
rnacentral:rRNA from 1 species